UGGGGGAUAUUGCACAAUGGGCGAAAGCCUGAUGCAGCGACGCCGCGUGGGGGAUGAAGGCUUUCGGGUUGUAAACCUCUUUCGCUAUCGAACAAGGCCCGCUUAGGGUGGGUUGAGGGUAGGUGGAGAAGAAGCGCCGGCUAACUACGUGCCAGCAGCCGCGGUAAUACGUAGGGCGCGAGCGUUGUCCGGAAUUAUUGGGCGUAAAGGGCUUGUAGGCGGCUUGUUGCGCCUGCUGUGAAAACGCGGGGCUUAACUUCGCGCGUGCAGUGGGUACGGGCAGGCUUGAGUGUGGUAGGGGUGACUGGAAUUCCAGGUGUAGCGGUGGAAUGCGCAGAUAUCUGGAGGAACACCGAUGGCGAAGGCAGGUCACUGGGACAUUACUGACGCUGAGGAGCGAAAGCAUGGGUAGCGAACAGG
rnacentral:rRNA from 1 species